CUGCCGGUGCAGAAGACGCUUGAGGGGUCAUCUGCGGGACUAGAGGGCCAGAAUGUUCUCUAUGGACAGCAUGCUGCUCAAACAGCAUUUGAAGACCUAAAAGAGUCUCAGGAAAGGACCCCCCUGCUCUGGAAGAAAUAAGGAUUCUGGAGAGGUGUCCUGGGUGACUUCACAUGAUAUGUAUGGAACUUUUCAAAUGUCAGUUGUCUUAUGGACUUAAAUUUUGCUUCUUACGCUCCUUUUCCUUGAUUUUGUGUUGAUCAGAGCUGAAGGACUCUCUAUGCUGUAGUGCACAAUCUUGUCUUCUUCGUACAAUUUGUAGGUUGGAGCUGGGAGAGUAUCCUGGUAUACAUAGUAGCCCCUUCCUUAGAUGGCUAGGUGCUGAGAUGAAAGGCCAUUAUUGUCACCAUCCUGUGGGGGUAGGGAAAGAAUAGUAUUUUUGUAAGUCAAAGGAGGAAGUCCACAAAAUGGCAGUGGUGGUUUUCACUGUGUCUUGGAAGAAUCUACUCAGCAUUUUUUUUCUUUUCUUAGGUCCUUCUGUUGGCUUCUGUAAAAGCCUGCUAGUUAAGGCUCUGCUGUUUGGGGAUCACAGUGUAAUGAAUUCUGGUGGAAACCUAGAAUCACAUGAUACUGAAGGGCAUUUUUUCUUGCAUGAUUAUUUUUAUCCCUAGCUUUAUUG